GGGGGUGUAGCUCAGGGCUAGAGCAUUUGACUGCAGAUCAAGAGGUCCCUGGUUUAAAUCCAGGUACCCCCU
rnacentral:tRNA from 1 species